UGGCGGACGGGUGAGUAACGCGUGGGUAACCUGCCUCACACUGGGGGACAACAGUUAGAAAUGACUGCUAAUACCGCAUAAGCGCACAGGACCGCAUGGUCCGGUGUGAAAAACUCCGGUGGUGUGAGAUGGACCCGCGUUUGAUUAGCUAGUUGGUGGGGUAACGGCCUACCAAGGCGACGAUCAAUAGCCGACCUGAGAGGGUGACCGGCCACAUUGGGACUGAGACACGGCCCAA
rnacentral:rRNA from 1 species